rnacentral:rRNA from 1 species
GACGAACGCUGGCGGCGUGCUUAACACAUGCAAGUCGAACGGAAAGGCCCCUUUGGGGGUACUCGAGUGGCGAACGGGUGAGUAACACGUGAGUAACCUGCCCUUGACUUCGGGAUAACUUCAGGAAACUGGGGCUAAUACCGGAUAGGAAUCCUUGCUGCAUGGAGGGGGUUGGAAAGCUUCGGCGGUUUUGGAUGGACUCGCGGCUUAUCAGCUUGUUGGUGGGGGAGUGGCUUACCAAGGCUUUGACGGGUAGCCGGCCUGAGAGGGCGACCGGCCACAUUGGGACUGAGAUACGGCCCAGACUCCUACGGGAGGCAGCAGUGGGGAAUAUUGCACAAUGGGCGGAAGCCUGAUGCAGCAACGCCGCGGGCGGGAUGACGGCCUUCGGGUUGGAAACCGCUUUCAGCAGGGGCGAAGCUUGUGGUGACGGUACCUGCAGAAGAAGCACCGGCUAACUACGUG